rnacentral:rRNA from 1 species
UACGUAGGCAGCGAGCGUUGUUCGGAGUUACUGGGCGUAAAGGGUGCGUAGGCGGUUGUUUAAGUUUGGUGUGAAAUCUCCCGGCUUAACUGGGAGGGUGCGCUACAAACUGUCUGACUAGAGUGUGGGAUGGGUAAGUGGAAUUCCUGGUGUAGCGGUGAAAUGCGUAGAUAUCAGGAGGAACACCGGUGGUGUAGACGGCUUACUGGACCAUAACUGACGCUGAGACACGAAAGCGUGGGUAGCAAACAGG